rnacentral:rRNA from 1 species
GUGGGGAAUCUUGCGCAAUGGACGAAAGUCUGACGCAGCGACGCCGCGUGGGCGACGAAGGCCUUCGGGUUGUAAAGCCCUGUGGGGAGGGACGAACACUGAUUGUUCAAAUAGGGCAGUCAGCUGACGGUACCUCCUUAGCAAGCACCGGCUAACUCUGUGCCAGCAGCCGCGGUAAGACAGAGGGUGCAAACGUUGCUCGGAAUUACUGGGCGUAAAGCGCGUGUAGGUGGUCACGCAAGUCAGGUGUGAAAGCCCUGGGCUCAACCCAGGAAGUGCACAUGAUACUACGUGGCUGGAGUACUGAAGAGGAGAGCGGAAUUCCCGGUGUAGAGGUGAAAUUCGUAGAUAUCGGGAGGAACACCAGUGGCGAAGGCGGCUCUCUGGGCAGAUACUGACACUGAGACGCGAAAGCGUGGGUAGCAAACAGGAUUAGAAACCCCGGUAGUCC